rnacentral:misc_RNA from 1 species
GUGUUCCCUGCCCUCACGGGUAGAAACGCCCACCCUUGUGUAAUAUAUCAUGUUGCUUUGGCAGGCCGCCCUCGGGCACCGGCUCCGGCCGGGUCGCGCCUGCCAGAGGACCCCAAACCCUGAAUGUUAGUGUCGUCUGAGUACUAUAUAAUAGUUAAAACUUUCAACAACGGAUCUCUUGGUUCU